CAGAGCCCUGACUGGAACCCAAUUGCUGUCCACUGACGCUCCCAAUCCAACCUGACAGUGCUUGAGAUGAUCUGCAGAGAUGAAUAGCAAAAAAUCCCCAAAUCCAGGUGUGCAAUCCUUGUGGCAUCAUACCUGAGAAGACUGGAGACUGUAAUCCCUGCCACAGGUGCCUCAGAUGACUGGGUCUCAGAUGUAAUAUCGAACAUAGCUUAUGGACAAGAGGACAAGAGUGGCAUUAUUUCUGGGAAAAAAAAGGCCAUUACAUACAAUCUGCAGUUGACUGAAAAAGCUGUCAUUCUCAAUCUCAGCUUAGUUCCUUUGAACAAAUACAAGUAUAACACAG